rnacentral:misc_RNA from 1 species
AAGGAGCACUUCUCCAGGCAUGCCAACACAGGUUGGAAGUUGUUCUGGCAGAGACCGUUUCGGCCUCACAUGUAGGCCGGCGGAAGCUCAUGGGUGGAACACUGACAUGCGCCUCGACGAUGCCCGGAGCCCGAGUGCUUCGGGUUCGGGGAUGUAAUCGACACACUGUUGGGUCCUGAAAGAACAGACGUUCUUUCCAGGCAAAAAAUACGACUUGCUCGGAUUUUCUGAGAAACUGCUGGCUUUGCCGGUAAGUCCUGAUGUCCUAUCCGGGUGGGUGUGUUGUUUGAGAACUGCACAGUGGACGCGAGCAUCUUUGUUA